AUUGAACGCUGGCGGCAUGCUUUACACAUGCAAGUCGAACGGCCGCGCGGGCUUCUUCCUGGCCUCGAGUUGCCGACGGGUGGGUAAUUCAUCCGUGCGUGCCCAAUCUUUAGGGCUAGCCCGACUACAGCCGGCUGAAUCCCGCAUCCGACCUGAGGGUGAACGCGGGGGUCCGAUAGUCCUCGCGCUUUUGGCUCGGCCUAUGACGGAUUAGCUAGUUGGUGGGGUAAAGGCUUACCAAGGCGACGAUCCGUAGCUGGUCUGAGAGGACGACCAGCCACACUGGAACUGAGACACGGCCCAGACUCCUACGGGAGGCAGCAGUGGGGAAUUUUGCACAAUGGGCGCAAGCCUGAUCGAGCCAUGCCGCGUGAGGGAAGAAGGCCUUCGGGUUGUAAACCGCUGUUGUUAGGGAAGAACUCCUCUGGGAUAAUACACGGGCGGGAUGACGGUACCGGAAGAAUAAGCACCGGCUAACUACGUG
rnacentral:rRNA from 1 species